GACGAACGCUGGCGGCGUGCUUAACACAUGCAAGUCGAACGGAAAGGCCCUGCUUUUGUGGGGUGCUCGAGUGGCGAACGGGUGAGUAACACGUGAGUAACCUGCCCUUGACUUUGGGAUAACUUCAGGAAACUGGGGCUAAUACCGGAUAGGAGCUCCUGCUGCAUGGUGGGGGUUGGAAAGUUUCGGCGGUUGGGGAUGGACUCGCGGCUUAUCAGCUUGUUGGUGGGGUAGUGGCUUACCAAGGCUUUGACGGGUAGCCGGCCUGAGAGGGUGACCGGCCACAUUGGGACUGAGAUACGGACCAGAGUCCUACGGGAGGCAGUAGUGGGGAAUAUUGCACAAUGGGCGGAAGCCUGAUGCAGAAACGCCGCGGGCGGGAUGACGGCCUUCGGGUUGUAAACAGCUUUCGCCUGUGACGAAGCGGGAGUGACGGUAAUGGGUAAAGAAGCACCGGCUAACUACGUG
rnacentral:rRNA from 1 species